AGAGAGAGAGAGAGAGAGAGAGAGAGAGAGAGAGAGAGAGAGAGAGAGAGAGAGAGAGAGAGAGAGAGAGAGAGAGCAAAUGUCCAUUGGAGAGAAACCCUGUCAAGUUCAGCGUUCGUUAUACUAGCGUAAUUUCUUAAUAAAACGAUACUUUAUCUAGUUAGAAAGAAAAACUACUUCAGUGUACCCUGAAACGCGUUAAAUCUCGUGUUAAGAUCCAUAUUGGAAUUUACAAUAGAUAUCGGAAAAGAAUUCUGUCGUAAUAUAUUUUUAUGACAAUUUA